GGCCUCAUAGCUCAGUGGUUAGAGCACUGGUCUCGUAAACGAGCGAUCGUGAGUUCAAAUCUGACUGUGGCCU